CCAAACUUGGUCAUUUAGAGGAAGUAAAAGUCGUAACAAGGUCUCCGUAGGUGAACCUGCGGAGGGAUCAUCAAAGGAAAGGAAUCAUCUUCUUGAUGGGGGGGUGCAGGAGUCUUCUCUUGCACUUCUCUAAACAAACAAACGAUCGCAACUAGUACAAUGGAGUGGUGAAUGAGUGGGAUGGUGAUGAUGCCUGAUUUGGUUUAGCAGCAGCAGCAGCAGCUAAAAGUGUUUGGCUGAUAAUCAGAUAAAUUGGAAUGGGUGAAUUGAGAUGUUAUACAACUUUCAACAACGGAUCUCUUGGCUCUCACAUCGAUGAAGAACGCAGC
rnacentral:misc_RNA from 1 species